AACCCUAGCUCUUCAAUUCCACCUUUUUCUAGAUCUAUUGGAGACUUCCGACGUCCUCCCUUUUGACUUCUGGAUAGUAUAUGUCGAUUUUCGCAUCAAGAUUCCUUCGCUAGCGGUGGCUGGCGAUAACUCGAUCAUUCUUUCAAUUCCUUCGCUAAAUGGUAUUUGUGGACUAUAUAGAUUUUGCUAAAGAGUUGGAGUCAUCAACCAUCUCAGAUGAACCUUUUGCCCAACUGGCCAUGCUGGUAUGUUGGUGCAAACAUCAAUUACAAAACCUGCAAGAACAGGAACACAGCUUUAUCUACGUGUGAUCGGAAUCGCAAUGUACUGAGUCAGAUUGAAGCCUCCAUGAAGAACCAAUACCUGUUGCAGCUCCUGCAGUGAGCGCCAUGAUGUCGCCACUGGUCUGUGCACCAACUGCAGAGUGGACGACCUUCAAGAUCUGAUCAUGGGCGGCGCCCAUCGUCUGCGCGAUCUCCACGCAGUGCGACGCCACGAGCGCCGCCGCGGAGGCAAUGGCCGCAGUGAUCUUGUUGCCACAGUUGGUUCUUGACGCAUCCGGCGAGAAGACGGCGCUGGCGACGACAGCAGCAACCGCAGCUGCGACCCCGGCGACGGAGGUCGCGGCGUAUGCUUGGGCUUUCCGUGUCCGGGCUUCUGUCCUCCUCUUCUCCUUCUGAUCCUUCAACCAUCCUCCCAUCGUCUUCCCCCUCGCCGCACCUCUAAGAAGCUGCAUGUACGCGGAACAGAAGCUGGAUUACGCCUGCGGAAGAUGCCUGAUCACAGGUGAGUAGCUCACGGACCUUGAGAUCGAUGUUGUCUCUCGGAGAGAUCGGAGGGCUGACGCCGACUCCUUCGUCGGCAACUGGUAGUUUAAGCUCUACUGCUGGAUUCUGCACGGUGAAGAUACAUCAAGUCGAUCUCUAAUGCUGGUUCGACCAAGCUCGCCUUACCUCUUCUCUCGCAGCAGACAACGGCGGGUUGCUGUUCUGCCUCUGGACGCCGGUGGAAUCCGAAGGCUUUCUGUUCUCGAACAGGGUGAGGGCCUUCGAGAUCUCCACGGCGGACAGACUCCAUGACCGAGCGAGGAACUCCAUGGCCUCCGUGGGCGUCUCCGGAGGCCGCAGGGAAACCGGAAGGCAGCUCGCGGGACGCUCUUCCUCGAUGUUCUCCAGCCGCAUCGACGCGCCCUUCGCAUGGUGGUGGUGGUGGUGAUGAUGAUGAUGAUGCCGAUGAGAGUACGAGCACCACUCCAUGCCAGCUCACAAGCUCAAGAAUGACGCACACGUAUAUAUACAGAUAACCGGAGAUCAAAGUGGUGUGGGAGACCUCUCGAGCUCCGCUCGUGCACCGGAAGUGGGUGGUGAAUCGAGCCCCAUUCCCGAUAAAGAGACGCCCAAGAGCGGCGCUCCUCAUGAUGGCUAUGCUUUGGGUGGGCUUCCACGGUUGCAUCAAAAGGAGCCACCACCCGCAGCCACACCGACGGUCAUUUCAUCAAACACCAACCAGAACCAAUCUUGCUCCAAAUGAUUCCAUCCAAGCUUGGCGCAUCUGAUGCUAUACUUGGAUCCAAAUGUCGAGUGGAAUGGGGCGGAGGCACAAUCGAAGUAUGGGUCACUACAGCUCAGUGGGAAGCCCACUAAGCGUCGUCGGUCCCAACUCAUUAUGGCGUGCAUUUUGAUGCCUAACCGAGUAGCCAUUGCAACUCUUUCGAGUCCUUCAUGGCUCCUAAAACCUACUGCAAGCAUGCAAUUCUGCUUCGGAUGAAGAAGGAAAAGGUACUCUUUUUUCCCCUUGAUUUGAUCUACUUUCCUCAUUCUUCUUCUUCUUGUUGUCAAUCUGAAUUGUGGUUGAGAGAAUCCCACCUGAGUAAAGUUUCUGCUUUCCAUGAUCACUUCAGCAAUCAGAAAAGCCAGCUUUCUCGAACAACAUAAGUGUAUGUAAAGAUUUAAGGGGAGAGACGGGAGUUGUCUGUGCUAAGACAGCCAAUUCUUCUGUAUAAGAUUAACCAUUGUAUGAUCUCCAUAUGACACAGCUCCUUGGAAGUACCAUUGCAAGCAAUGAUCGAUGUUGAGGUUUUAGUUGGAUUUUGGAACCAA